GACGAACGCUGGCGGCGUGCUUAACACAUGCAAGUCGAACGGUGAAGGUGGAGCUUGCUCCGCCGGAUCAGUGGCGAACGGGUGAGUAACACGUGGGCAACCUGCCCCUGACUUCGGGAUAACUCCUCGAAAGAAGUGCUAAUACCGGAUACGAAUCCUGCAGGCAUCUGCGGGAUUGGAAAGUUUUUCGGUCAGGGAUGGGCCCGCGGCCUAUCAGCUUGUUGGUGAGGUAGUGGCUCACCAAGGCGACGAAGGGUAGCCGGCAUGAGGGGGCGACCGGCCACACUGGGACUGGGACACGGCCCAGACUCCUACGGGAGGCAGCAGUGGGGAAUAUUGCGCAAUGGGCGAAAGCCUGACGCAGCAACGCCGCGUGAGGGAUGACGGCCUUCGGGUUGUAAACCUCUUUCAGCAGGGAAGAAGCGAAAGUGACGGUACCUGCAGAAGAAGCACCGGCUAACUACGUGCCAGCCGCCGCAGUAA
rnacentral:rRNA from 1 species